rnacentral:rRNA from 1 species
AGUANGGAAUCUUCGGCAAUGGGGGCAACCCUGACCGAGCAACGCCGCGUGAGUGAAGAAGGUUUUCGGAUCGUAAAGCUCUGUUGUAAGUCAAGAACGAGUGUGAGAGUGGAAAGUUCACACUGUGACGGUAGCUUACCAGAAAGGGACGGCUAACUACGUGCCAGCAGCCGCGGUAAUACGUAGGUCCCGAGCGUUGUCCGGAUUUAUUGGGCGUAAAGCGAGCGCAGGCGGUUUGAUAAGUCUGAAGUUAAAGGCUGUGGCUCAACCAUAGUUCGCUUUGGAAACUGUCAAACUUGAGUGCAGAAGGGGAGAGUGGAAUUCCAUGUGUAGCGGUGAAAUGCGUAGAUAUAUGGAGGAACACCGGUGGCGAAAGCGGCUCUCUGGUCUGUAACUGACGCUGAGGCUCGAAAGCGUGGGGAGCGAACAGGAUUAGAUACCCUGGUAGUCCACGCCGUAAACGAUGAGUGCUAGGUGUUGGAUCCUUUCCGGGAUUCAGUGCCGCAGCUAACGCAUUAAGCACUCCGCCUGGGGAGUACGACCGCAAGGUUG